CAGCAGCCGCGGUAAUUCGUAGGGUGCAAGCGUUGUUCGGAAUCACUGGGCGUAAAGGGAGCGUAGGCGGGAGUGUAAGUUAGGAGUGAAAUUUAUCGGCUCAACCGAUAACUUGCUUUUAAUACUGCAUUUCUUGAGUAUGGGAGAGGAUGAUAGAAUUCCAGGUGUAGCGGUGGAAUGCGUAGAUAUCUGGAAGAAUACCAGUUGCGAAGGCGGUCAUCUGGCCCAAUACUGACGCUGAGGCUCGAAAGCUAGGGGAGCAAACAGGAUUAGAUACCCUGGUAGUCCUAGCCGUAAACGAUGGAUACUAGAUGUUGGAAGUUUUACUUUCGGCGUCGCAGCUAACGCAUUAAGUAUCCCGCCUGGGGAGUACGCUCGCAAGGGUGAAACUUAAAGGAAUUGACGG
rnacentral:rRNA from 1 species